ACACUCUCGCUUCUCUUCGGAUAUCAAAUAAAUCUUUCGCCCUUUACUAAAAAUUUCUGUGGAGAGGAGCACCCUAAUGGGUUUCAAAUAAAUUAUUGCUCCGUCGAAUAGACGA